GGCCAUGUCAUGCUGAAACACUAGUUCUUGUAUGAUCACUGAAGUUAAGCAAUGUCGAGCCUGGUCAGUACAUAGAUGGGUGACCACUUGGGAAUACCAAAUGCUGUAAG